AGAGUUUGAUCCUGGCUCAGAUUGAACGCUGGCGGCAUGCCUUACACAUGCAAGUCGAACGGCAGCGCGGGAGCAAUCCUGGCGGCGAGUGGCGAACGGGUGAGUAAUACAUCGGAACAUGUCCAGUAGUGGGGGAUAGCCCGGCGAAAGCCGGAUUAAUACCGCAUACGAUCCAUGGAUGAAAGCGGGGGACCUUCGGGCCUCGCGCUAUUGGGGUGGCCGAUGGCAGAUUAGGUAGUUGGUGGGGUAAAGGCCUACCAAGCCGACGAUCUGUAGCUGGUCUGAGAGGACGACCAGCCACACUGGGACUGAGACACGGCCCAGACUCCUACGGGAGGCAGCAGUGGGGAAUUUUGGACAAUGGGCGCAAGCCUGAUCCAGCAAUGCCGCGUGUGUGAAGAAGGCCUUCGGGUUGUAAAGCACUUUUGUCCGGAAAGAAAUCCUCUGGUCUAAUACAUCGGGGGGAUGACGGUACCGGAAGAAUAAGCACCGGCUAACUACGUGCCAGCAGCCGCGGUAAUACGUAGGGUGCGAGCGUUAAUCGGAAUUACUGGGCGUAAAGCGUGCGCAGGCGGUGAUGUAAGACCGAUGUGAAAUCCCCGGGCUUAACCUGGGAACUGCAUUGGUGACUGCAUCGCUCGAGUAUGGCAGAGGGGGGUAGAAUUCCACGUAGCAGUGAAAUGCGUAGAGAUGUGGAGGAAUACCGAUGGCGAAGGCAGCCCCCUGGGUCAAUACUGACGCUCAUGCACGAAAGCGUGGGGAGCAAACAGGAUUAGAUACCCCGGUAGUCC
rnacentral:rRNA from 1 species